UGGGGAAUCUUGCCCAAUGGGCGAAAGCCUGAGGCGGCGACGCCGCGUGAGGGAGGAAGGCCUUCGGGUUGUAAACCUCUUUCAGGAGGGACGAAGCUACUCGGGUGAAUAGCCCAGAGGGUGACGGUACCUCCAGAAGAAGCCCCGGCUAACUACGUGCCAGCAGCCGCGGUAAUACGUAGGGGGCAAGCGUUGUCCGGAUUUACUGGGCGUAAAGCGCGUGUGGGCGGCCACGCAGGUCCGUCGUGAAAACUGGAGGCUCAACUUCCAGACGUCGACGGAAACCGUGUGGCUAGAGUCCGGAAGAGGAGAGUGGAAUUCCUGGUGUAGCGGUGAAAUGCGCAGAUAUCAGGAAGAACACCAAUGGCGAAGGCAGCUCUCUGGGACGGUACUGACGCUGAGACGCGAAAGCGUGGGGAGCGAACAGG
rnacentral:rRNA from 1 species